UUGGUCCUGCGUCAAGGCCUGCAGUUGGCUGGAACUGCUGGUUUCAAGCAGGAGCCUAAAGGAAAACCUUUCCGUGGUCUGUGGAUCAUUUCAGGGAUUUGUAAAUGUAACGGUCAGUUCCUUAGAAGGAACCACCU